rnacentral:misc_RNA from 1 species
AAGGACAGAAGAGAAGGCAGAUGAAAUUUCUGAAUACGUUUGCCCUGAAUCACAUUGAACAUGCAUGACCAAAACCAGGGCUAUGAUGACCAGCAAGUUUGUGUUGAGGGACCCAAGGCUGCUAGAACAGAGAAAAGAAAGCAAACAUCUUUAGAACUCUACCUGCAAAUGGCUAGCCAAUUUAUUAUUUAUGCAGUUAUAAUUAAUAGUGUAUCGAAAAUCCAACUCCUACGUGUUAAAUAUCAGAGCGACUGAUUAUCUUUGCUAGAAUGAAAAUGUCAAUAUAAUCAUGCACUUUGAUAUGCAGAUAAU